CAUUGGAUUAGCUGUAAAAAAUCGCAAAUGUAGAUUCGUGUGUGCAUGUCUCUGUUUUUUGUAGCAACUUAUCAAAAAAAUGUAAAUCAAAGCGUUCUGUGUGGACUAAGCCAUAUUUAUUACGAAGAAAUUGUAGUGGUAUGCAUCAUAAUCUAUUUUUUGAACUUGCACUUAAAGAUCCGAAUCGAUUUCGUAGAUGCCUGCGCAUGGAUAGUGAUACCUUUCAAUAUCUUGUUGAAAAAGUUACAUCCUUUAUUCAAAAACAAACAACACAUUUAAGAAAAAGCAUACCUUUUGCUGAAAGGUUUUCUAUUACCUUACGACAUCUGGCUACUGGAGAAUCACAGGAGUCACUUAGCUUGCAAUUCAGAAUUGGUCAAUGCACUAUAUCAAAAAUAAUAAAAGAAGUUAGCGGCAUUAAUAAAUGUCUUGAAGGAUGAGUUUCUUCGAAUGCCAACAUGUGUAAAAGAAUGGAAAAUCACAGAGAUGGAAUUUUCAUCAUUGCAUUGGUGCAAUAGAUGGAAAACAUGUGCGAAUAUAUCCUUCUCUCUCAUCGGGUUCAGCUUACUACAAUUAUAAAGAUUUUAACAGUAUUGUAUUGUUGGCUAUUGUUGAUGCACAAUUGAGAUUUAUAUACAUUGAUGUAGGCACCAACAGGAGAAUGAGUGAUCAUUACAUAUGGAAUAAGUGUAGCCUUAAAUCUCAUUUAUACAGUAAUAAUCUUCAUUUGCCUCAGCCAUCUCCACUUCCUGGAUAUGUCGAUAAUUUUCUAUAUGUACUAGUUGGUGAUGAGAUUUUUCCUCUCACAACUAAAUUGCUUAUUCCAUAUCCAAAAAAUCAGAGCCGCAAUCGGCAGAAGGAUAUUUAACUACAAGUAUGAUACUGUCACGUGCCAGGCCUUGUUCAGAAAAUACAUUCGGAGUGCUAGGUGCAAGGUUUCAGAUUUUUCAAACAGCUAUGAGAUAUAACCCUGAUGAAGCAGUUAGAAUCAAUGGCUUGUUGCUGUCUCCAUAAUAUGUAAUUGCGUAGUUGAUCUAUAGGUCGUGCCAUGUACACCCCAUCGGACUUCCUCGAUGAAUAGGAUGUAUUAACAGGUCACAUAAGAUCUGGUGAAUGGAGACAAGAACCAGCUAAUUACUUAGUACAGUUGUGUCAUCAAGCUGGAAACUGCCAUACAAUUGAUGCCUGCGUCCUUCGAGACACUUGGACUACAUAUUUUAAUCGACCUGAGGCUGUGCCAUGGCAGCAACGAGUAGUACUUGGUCAUAAUUCAUAAAAUAUCAAUAAUUAAAAUAUAGUACUUGUAAGGUUUA